CACACAACCUGCCCAAUUGCAAACAUGCUGGGAGGCACUGAAAUGCCCAUCUAACACAAACCCACACCAUGUCCACCUCCACCCCACACACAACUUCACACACCCACACAUUCACCCACACACACACCCACACACACCUUCAUUUAUGUUAAUAACAGAAUCAAUACACGUUCCCUGAAGAGAAAAUACACACCAUCAUAAACUCUUGUCAUUACGCACGUGAAAAUAAAAAGUGGUUUUAAUUAAAUAGAAAUAAGUGUGUGCGUGUGUGUGUGUGUGUGUGUGCGUGUGUGUGUGUGUGUGUGUGUGAGAGAGACCUGUAGGUGAACACACUUCACAUUAGUAUGUGUAUACCCAUACAUUUACAGACCUCAGCAGUCAGUGAUGCCAUCAUUAUAAACACACGGAGGUAAUAAUUAUGUCAUCUGCCAGCAGACUGAUGUUAUGACAUAAGGUGUGUAUCGCUUAACGCAACAGCACAUCGACUUUUGCCGCAGGUGUGAGAUUUUCUUGUCAGGAUUUUUCCGCACCGUUAGACUCCACGCACAGUAACUCUGUCAUUUGCCUGGUUUAACUGAACAGAGCGGCGCAUUCACGGUGAUGUUUACAAGUCUGUGGAGAUCGGUUAUGACACGAGCUCCUGAUUUGCAUAUCGCCCCGAGUGUUAAGUAAGGAGUAAAACAUCCGGAGGCAUGCUGUUAAAGAAAAAUAAUCAGUGACUGUUUGGAGUGAUGCGGCCUGACGUUAAGCGAGAAACUGUUACCAUUAUAAAGUGGUUAUAAAGUGUUUUAUUCUUCUUAGACCAUAGCAAUUAGCCCCUAUUAGCUUGUGCGUCUCAAAAGAAGUUACAUAAGAUAGCUAUAAACAACUGUUCCCUCACCAAAAAACCCACAGCUUGUCAUUUUAAACCACAAAAUCUUCCAUUCUGAACAAUUUUAUACAUGCUGUUACAAAGCACUGACACUGGAGACUCAAUUUUAUAAAAACAAUUUUAUAAAUACUGGAUUAUUGAAAUUUGUAUAAUAUCAAGGUUUUUUUUUUUUUUAACCUUCUUCAGUGAAGCAAACUUAUCUUAUACUUCUACAUUUCUAAUAUUUCGAUCUGCACGAAAUCUUACCAAGGAUAAGAUCCGGGAUAAAGUGUGGGGUUUCUGUUUAGAUCUUUUUCUUGAUUUCUUAUUUGUGAAUAAUUAUUAUUUUUAAUGAGAUCGAGGUUAAGCUGUACGUAAAGAUGGAAGAUGGCGUUCGAGCGUGUACGUAAGAACGUAAGGACAAAUAAGAGACGGAUUUAAUGGACAAAAUGACCGAAAUCCAGAAUAUUCCUGAAACUGGCACACUAGUCUAUGAGUCACGGGUGUGUGCUAGUUCUGUAAUUAGAUCAAAUAGACAGAUGAAUGAUGAUGAUGAUGACGAAACUUAAUCAACGACUGGACAAUGCUGAAGCUGAUUAAGAUUCAGAGCGGAUAUUUCAGAAACCCCAGCUGAGAAGCAACAAAAUUAUAGUGUGUUGACAAGGAACAUUAAUAAGAGGCACUGAAAAAAAGGCACAUUAAUAAAAUGUCUGAAUUCAACGGGUCAUCAAUAAGAGUCUGAAUGCAAAUGAAUUAUGAAUGAGAUCAUUCCAUAUGGCCAAAGGCGUAGGGAUAUUAUAGCACCCCGUCCCACACUGUGCAUGGGAAUGACUAAUAAAGGCAGAUCACGUGAAAACAGCAUUACACGUUCACUCACUCUAGCACUUUAUUUCACUAGCAACGUGUUCAACACAUCUGCAGGUGUUUAACAUGCAAUUUGUAUGCUUUUUAAAGUGGGCCACUCAAAACCAGGAUCCACAAAUUGAUACACAGAUUUGCACAAUUUCCCACUUAAGAGCAGUUCUGAUUCGAUAUUGUGUUUAAUGUAACCAAUCGGCGAGAUAUAACUGGUGUUAAUUGUACAUUCAAAGCACAGUGAGUCACAGAUCACUGAAUGCCUUAAAAUCUUCUUCCAAAUUUUCAGAAAUAAACAUUCAUUAGCAUUUAUUAUGUUUACUAGGUGUUGUCUGGAUUGCAAACCCACCAACGGUGCUCUUGUUGCAUGCAAGGCAGCAUGAGUCUCUUCUUUCACACACACACACACACACACACACGCACGCGCGCGUGCAGACGCGCACACAAAACACUGUUUACUUCAGGGUGUUCUAAACGCCAGUCAUGAGACACAUAAAACAGACACACACACAAACACACGCGCGCACACACACACACACACACACACACACAGUCAACAGGCAUCUGGUUUCAUUUGUUAAAGGCCUAUAAUUGAUAGUGUGCAAAUCACAUGGGCCGUUUCACCUCAGCCAAGUCACAUUCUUCAAGAAGGAUGGAGAAGAUUAACCCUUUUAAACUGUAAUAAACGCAGCAAACUUUGCGACAUCUGAUUUCAUUCUCUUCAUUUGUUUAACUCAGGGCCUUCGAGGGAACCUCCGAGUUGCUUUAGCAUGUUGAUUUUCUGCUGCCAGUUGCACAAAUCGAACGCAAGUUUGAUCUGAAUUCAAGGUCGUAAAGUCCAUAUGUUCAGAGGAGUGAUCUCAUCCCAAAACGAUCCCAUGGCACUGUUAAAUUCUCAGAUCUGAUUGGUCAGAUGCUUGAUUGAUUGAUUGAUUUUCUGUAACAGUUUACAUCUCAUGCUUCCCUCCUUUACCUCAUGGUUCCGAUAGCAAUGAACACCAUGUGGUCAUGUUCUAUUCUUGUCUCCACCCCUGUCAUGUCAUUGGUUUGUUGCCUGAUUGUGUUCACCUGUUCUGUGCACAGUUCUGUUUAGUUUGUCCUAUUUAAACUCUUGUUGAGUUAGUUUCUGAUUAUUGUUAUCCUUAUUUAACUUGACGUGGCCUGCCUGUCACCUCACAUGAAUAAGGGCAGAUGUUGCACCUAUUAGGGGGUAAGUGUGCAUUUUAAUUUAUUUCUUAAGACUACAUUUGAACUAUGAUUCCUUGGGUUUUUAUUUAAAUUUUUUUUUUCUCACCAUAGACAACAGAGCUAACUUUUCUACUGUUGCAAUUUUGAAUCGAACGUCAGCCUUUUCCCAGAAUUCCAUGCUAUAUAUGAGCAAAAACAGACUGAAGUGUGGCAUUCGUGGAAACAUGACUCCAUCCGCCCCCUUCUACUACUUGUUCUCUUUGAAUCCCUAUGCCACACGCAAAGAAAACGGCAAAUAAAUGCAUUUAUGUAGCACUCACACCUCCGUCUGCCACCGCCAUAAAGAAAGACAGUUGGGGGGGGGAUAAAAAGAGAGAGAGAUGAAGGAUCAGAGGAGACGGAUGGCAGCGCUCUGCCUGCCGCCAUCUUUUCACCUCAAAUGACUCUUAGGCAAGCAGAAGCCAAGCUGCUGUUCCAACCACAACGACUGACCUUUGGAAUGCAAACAAACCCAACUGCAACUAAUCAAAAAAGAAACAAUCUGGUCCAAAUAAUUAUCACAAGAAAACCUCAACUACUGUACUGUUGCAUUUCACCCCCACCCCCAUCCAGCUCUCGUCUCUUGGAUGAUCCAUGGCUUUAUGUUUUAUUACCGUUGAGGGCUUUUUUUUGUUGUUUUUUUGCUUUUUUGGAAAGCUAAGAAACUAGGAGGACUCAUUUCAUGCUGAGCAAAACAAGCUGGAGAACUCGAGCUUGUCCUUAAUCAUUCCUCCAGGAUAUAAACAAAAGCAUAUUUUCCCAUAGAUGCUUUAAUCAUAGAUUAUCUGGAUGAAUUGUAAAAUCUACUGGAUCAACAACAACAAAAAAAACCUAUCGCAGAAAUGAGCUCACCCGCUGCUCUGUGAUCAGAUUUCUGGUGGUUUGGAUGGACUCUUGGCAGUAGCAACGUCAUAUCACACCACAUUUCAUUUGAGCUUUUAUUUAUUUAUUAAUUUAUGUAUUUAUUUUACAAAUAUUUUUUUUUUCUUCACCAUUUUAGCCAUAACAAAAAUUUCCAUUUCUCUAUCGUUCAACAGUUGCCAGUCCAAAAGGAUGAAAUCUAAUCAGUGCUUCCUUUAAGACAUAUUAAGUCACCUCACCUUUUCAUAUGAGUCACUACAGAAAGUUAAUAGUCUCCUUUGUAUACAGGAUCUAACGACCAUCUGUAACUGGCAGCGAAGUCAAGGCUACCUGGCUAAGUGGAAAGGCAGUAAAGCAUUCAAAUUCGUACCAUUUGUAGUUCACAAAUUUGACUCGUUUGACCAUAGCAUGCAAAACGAGGUUCUUUGGAUAGUGGAGCAUUCUUAUAACAGCACAGUGCUGUUGAAUACUCAGUUAUGAUUCGUCGGGAAGUGUUGAUUAAUUUUCUCUAACAGCAGCUCUGACAGUAUUUCCAGUUGCAAGGUUCAUAUUAAUGUACGUUUGCUGUUAUGUGUUACCUUUCUAUAGUAACAACUAACAUAGGGACUUGUAUAGUAGACACUCUAAUUUGCUGUAGGAAAACUUGGAAAAAUGGAACUGUUGGUUUAACAUUUAUGGAAGUAGUCUCCAGUGUGAGUGCUUUGUAGCAUUUACAGAAUUUGGCAGACGCCCUUAUACAGACUGCCUUACAUUUAUCUCAUUUAUACAGCCAAGUGUUAAGGCCCCAGCAGUGGUGGGAUUUGAACUCACAACCUUCCAAUCAGAAAACCCAAUGUCUUAUCCGCUGAGCUGCCAACACCACCUGAACCCUGGUGAAGGAAUGACUGUUUAUAGCUGUCAUAACCUAAGUGAUAAACGGAACUAACUUGUUUUGUGGAUGUUCCACAACAGUAAAUGUAACAAUUAAUGGAUAAAAGUACAAUGUGCCAUUCUUUAAUAAAUGAAAACCGUAACGGUUGGCUUAAAAAAUAAUCUUUUUUUUUUCAUUUUUUUGUCAUUCAUUAUUUUCAUAUAACAGCAUGCCCAUAUAAGCAUUCCUUAGCUUUUUAAAGGAGUUUUACUUGGAACCUUCUCUGAUAGAGAACCACUCCGCUGUAGGGUUUUAUGUCGAAAAUUUCCGGGUUCGUCCAAAGCAAUAACUACAACCAUUAAUCCUGUGCCUCAUUAUUAACCGUAAUUAUUUGCGUAUAUUUAAAUUAGAGUUCUUAUUAACGUACAAUCAUAAGACCGUGUUGUGUGAGCUAAACUAUUUCUGGACCAGUGAUGGGCAUUAAAUGAUGCCAGCUGCCUUGCCAGGCAGGAUCGAAUGUCCUGCAGUGAUGAGUCAGUGAGUGCAAACGAGUCAGAGGUCAGAGAUUGCAGCAGGUUAAAGCACACGCUCUCCUGGCCUCGAAUUACAAAGUGCCGCUUACUUCUGCGACAGUAAAAAAAAAAAAAAAAAAGUGAAGAAAGAGGUGGGAUGUGGAGGAGAAUUGAAGAGUGACAAAGGGAAGACAGAAUGAGCCAGAGACCAUCAGAUGAACUGAAUCAGAUAGAGGAGUAGAAGGAGACGGAUCGGAACAAAGAAAGCAGAUACAAAACAAGUGAGGAUGGAAGAUUGAAGAUGGGAUUGGAACGAGGAUGGUGCAAUUUCAAUUUCCCCUCCUCAUCCUUUUCACCUUCCAUCACAACUCAAUCUGUGAAUAAUUUUUUUUUUUUUUGUAUGAAUCAUGCACAGUGCAAGGUCUGUUUUUAUGACUGUAAUAAAUAGUAAUAACGUCUUAAUAACACAUCCUGGCAUCUUUCUUUUCUUUGAUCCUAGUAGUGUUUCAUAAAUCUGAGAACUUACUUUAGUAAAGCUCAGCCCCUGUAUCAUUCCCUGAGUUACCUUGUGUUCAGAAAGUCCUGGAAUGUAUUUGUUAUUCAUAAAUCAUCCUGCCACUGCCAACUGAAGGUACACCGUGUCCCAGUAAUCUGUCCAUAUGAGCAGACUGAACAGGACGAGACAGCCAUCUCUCAAAAGUUUUACAAUCACACUCAAAAAGUACUUUUCGUACAGCCUAUAUCCUGUCGUUAGCUCGUUAACUAGCUAGCAUUAGUAGUGAAGAUAAUGUUUACAUUCCUCAUUCUUGUAUAAAACUUGUUUCAAGUUGAAUAAUUUAGUUACAGUUACAUUUAUAUAGCGCUUUUCUAAACACUCAAAGUGUUUACAUAGAAUGGUGGUGGUGGGGUGGGGGGGGGGUGUCAUUGUAGUCACUGAAUAACAGGCAUAAAUAAAUAAUUAUUUUUUAAAAAAAAAGCUGUGAUAACAUCCUCUCAGAAAUCCUGCCAGGUUACCUCACUUGUAUUAGGAAGAUACUGUAAACAUUUAUGGAUAUGACUUUAAAUCAUCUUAAAAAUCCUGUCAGGUUAGCUCAUUUUAGCUAGAUAACAAGCAUAUUUAAAUAAGCGUUAUGACCACUUGUAAUAUAUAAAUUAAAAUCCUGUCAGGAUUUUAAUUGAUCUAUUAUGUAUAUUUAUAUAUUAUCUAUAAUAUAUUUCAUGUGUAAUAUAUUUUAUUAUGUUAGAAAGCUUGCUAGCAUUAGCAAUGAAGAUUCUGAACAUUCAUGAAAUCCUCUUUCUUUAAAAAAAAAAAAAAAAAAAUCCUCUUUCUCGACUUAACAUCCUCUUAGAAAUCCUGCCAAGCAUAUGCAAGAAGUAUGACAGAAUGAAGGAAUAUGACUUUAAAUCCUCUCAGAAAUCAUGCCAGAUUAGCUCAUGCUAACUAACUAGCUUGCGUUAACAGAAAGAAAUAUGCUACAAUCGUUAGCAGUGAGUAUAAACAUUGUGACUCAAAAUCCUUUUGGAAAAGCUGUCAGUGAUCUAGCUAGCUAGCUUUAGCAUGAAAUAUGAUACAGCUAAUACAUAUGACAUUAAAACCUCUUAGAAAUCCUGUUUAGCUAGCUCAUGUCAGUUAGAUAACUAGCAUUAUUGGUGAGCAUUAUGAACAUCUGAGAUAUAUGUAAAUUGAAAUACGUCAGAAAUCCGCUCAUGUUAGCUAGCUAGCCUAGAUUAGCAGCAAGAAAUAUGCUAAAAGUUGAAAUCCUGUCAUUUUGGUUUGUUAAUGUGUUUUGAACUUAUAUAUGGGCUCACAGACAGGGUUAAACAUUCAUACCUUUUGCUUGUGAUCUUAUUCAGGUGGAAUUGAAUGAAAUCCAACCACACUUUUUUUUUUUCUUCUCAAAUCCUCCCCAUGCAUUUCUCAUGAGAUCAGGAUUAGCCAAAAUACCUCAUCGUGAUAGUUUUGCAUAUGACUAUGCAUUUUCCCAAGUGGAAAGAACACAAAGAAAAUGGCUUCAUUCCUUCCGGAUGGGAUGGGGUUUCGAUCCGCAGGUGCCACAAAAACCCCUCUGCAAGGUCGUUACCAUCACGAAAGCUUCACAGAGAGAGCCCAGAUGGCAUAAGCAGUGCAUCAGGUGUGCAAAAUGAAUAGGAAUAUAAUCAUAAAGUCAAUGAUUAGCAAGUCUGCACACAGCUGUGUGCAGAAGUUCGAUUUGUACCUCAGUUUUCGGCACUAAAUGAACAAACGCUAUAAGGUGAAGCAGAUUUAGAGUGUCUCCAUUUCCCUGGCAAAGGUAUUCAAUUGGAAAUGCAGUAAUCCUUGUCCGUGAAAGUGUUCUUACGUCUCGUGUCGUUUUUCACUGUGUUCAUCGGAAUCUGGCGGAUGCCGAGUGUUAGAAAUAUGCUGAGACAGCCAGGUUGAUGAUGACGGUGAUCUAAAGUCUUUUGGUUAUAUCUAUUGCAAAAGGUAUCAUGUGUCAGAACACUGGGUCUUAGAAAGGAUUGUAAAAUGGAGAAGGCUGAUUAGUAAGAGUGCUUUGUAAUCCAUAAGCAACAUCUAAUCUGCAAGUGAAUGCAGCUGUAGAGCGAGACACGAUUACUCGUUAGACGUGAAGCUAGAAUCUGGUCUCGUCUUACACAUAAUGAGAAAAGCAACGACGCAACAUUUGAAGGGCAAACAGGAAGCAUGAUGCAGCAAAAGCUAGCCAACCGACAGCACUGGGGUCAUCCUGUAUGUCAUUGUCUCAAUGACAUAUGAAAGGUUACAAUCUCUGCUGUAAGUGCAUCGAUGCAGAUCUGAGCAAUAAUUUUAAACGCAAGGUGUCCUUUACUGGUAACACAUUACUGAAGGGAAGUGUUCAUAGUGCUACAUAAGACCUGUGUAAAUCAUUCAUGACAACAGAUUGCUUAUUACAACUGCCAUCAGCCACCAUAAUGCCUGGGGUUGUCAAAUUUCUUUAUACAUAUAGUAGACCCCAGAAGCUGGGGUCAGCCACGAUACGGCACCCCUGGAGCAGAGAGGGUUAAGAGUCUUGCUCAAGGGCCCAACAGUGGCGGCUUGGCAGUGCGGGGGCUUGAACCCCCAACCAUCCGAUCAGUAACUCAGAGUCUUAACCGCCAAGCCACCACUGCCCCACUGUCAAGCCAAUGGUGUCAAAUGGUGUCAAGCCAAACUCACAACCAAACUCCUGCUAAUAUAGGGGCUGAGAAAAUCUAGUGGACUCAGUGUCAUGUCAUGAAGUUGUCAUAACUUUACAUAAAAAGGUCAUAAAUGGUCAAAGUAAACUCGAUUCUCUAUAAGGGGUAAAAACGAUCCGUAACUCUGUCAUAGGUAUUUAAAAUGGUCACAUUAUAAACAUUUUGUGACUUUGAUAUACGCAAAGUCCGUUUUCAUGACAGUCCUUAUAACAUGUUACGUCAACACAAAUCUAUGUCACUUAUAGACAUAUAAAGAUACAUACAAAGAUAGAAUCUUAAUGACAGCUGACAUUUGUUCUAAUAAGCCUUCAUACAUGGUUAUGCAUGUUUGUUAGUUGUCAUGAGUCUUAUGACUGGGUUUGUCAAAUUUGAUGUCAUAUCAACUAAGUUUGUCUUAUGACACUUUAUGACACUCAUAUUCCACUAUCUUAACAACUGGCUUUGUACUGCAGUGCACUUCGAAUAAUGUUAGUAGUGUCAAGCCAAACUCACAACCAAACUCCUGCUAAUAUAGGGGCUGAGAAAAUAUAGUUGACUCAAUGUCAUGUCGUGUCAUGAAGUUGUCAUAACUUUACAUAAAAAGGUUAUAAAUGGUCACAGUCAUGACAGUCACAACACAAAUUUAUACCACUUCAGUCUGCCGAACAUGGUUAUGCAUGUUUGUUAGUUGUCAUAAGUCGUACGGAGCACUAUUUAGCACCACCGUUAUAUAUAUUAAGCGUUACCUUUUUAUCGUUCUUACACGUAGGACACACUGUGAAUGAAACUAAAUGCAGCUGUAUUUACUCUUAAUAUAAAUAUCCCUUUGGAUGUAUGAACAGAGAAAUGUUGUGGGCCAUUUUAAUACGCGCUUUUAGUUUUUACGAGACAAGUUUGCAAAUUGGACACAGAUUCAAUCUGUCAAGCCACAAAUUCAAGCAAAGCUAUGCUAAUGAGAUUUACCAACCAGACUGCACCUGUGAAUACGACAUAAUCUGCAAUAAAGCACAUCACUGAGUAUGUAAUAAGGCUAUGACAUUAACAAAAACAAACAACAACAACAACAACAACAACAGGCCAAAAAAAAAAAAAGAAGAUCUGUAGGUAAACCACUCGCAGUAAUAAUAAGAUAGUGGUUUAUUGGUAAAGAUUGGUCACACCUUGGGGCAAUUUAUCACAUCAAUUCCACCUACGAGAAUGUUUUUUGGGAGAUAGGAGGAAACCAGAGAACCCUGAGGAAACCCACUGUGGACAUGGGGAAAACAUGUGAAGUUACACCCAGACAUUAACUUGACCUCAGGAUUGAACCAGGGACCCUGGAGCUGUGAGGUGGCAACACUAGGUUCCAAGACGUCAAUCCUUUCUAUCUAUUCUCCUCAAAUCUGCCCUUAUUUCCGUAUACACACUCAAAAACUCAGCUUCAGUGGGCUGUUGAUCUCACGAUUGCAAAUUCUUAUUGCAAAAGUUAGGAAGGUUAUGAUUAGGGUUUUAGAGUUGGGAUUAGCAGGCGCACAUUUUCUUAUAACGUCAUUUAAUACAGAUGAAAUCAGUUGGUUUAUAUUUCUCCUGAGAUCACGUUUGACUCGAAAUCAACUCGGAGCUGAAAUCUCUCAAGAGGGACUCUCGGUGAAAAUAAAACACGGACGUAGAAAUAUGAACGUAAGGAUAACGUUUAGCAUAUUUAGCUUAUCUGGAGUGUCCGAGUCCUUCUGUGUGUAUGACGUGCGAAAGGUCGUCCUCAUCUGCACGGGUUUAGACUUAAAAUAGACGAGUAAGACAGACUGCGUUUAUUUAUCUAUUUAUUUGCGAUAUUCCUGCACUCUUCGUUUAUGGUGUUUGGAUUGCGUGUGGGUGUUUGUGCCGAUUUUCUCCCCUGUAAUUGGUAUAUUUGUGCGUGUUCAGCUCUCAGUGUGUAGGCUGGGUGCAUGCGAGUGUGCGAGGGCGUGUUUGUGCUGAACGCCCACUGCACAAUGUGAGCCGAGCUCCCACACUGAGAUGGCCGUCUGCUCUAAUGAAGUGGAAGUGAGAAUGCUUAUUUAGAAGUGGCAGCAAAAUGGCUAAUUGAGUGUGGCAGUGUGUGUAAGUGACCUGAUCCACCCUUCGAGCUCAGCACGGACACGUUACACCACUGUCUUCAGAUCAGCUGUUCCUUCUGCUUUUAACAAUGAUUAAUAUCUGCGCUAACAGGGAUUAUUAUGAGGCAAAACUGAUCCGGCUUUAGCGUGGUGGUCAACGUUAGUGAUUGCCAUGCGAUUGGAAAACUGUUCGAGAGUCUUUACUGAUUUUAAAUUUGAUAAAUAGGCCAUUUGAUGCGGAUCUCAUGAAACGCAUGUACCCCUGCAUUUGAUUUCAAGUUAAAUGAACUUUAAUACCUGCAAGUGUUUUGCUCAUUUUUAUUGUGGCCUAAUAAUAAACAGAUUUUAAGAUUUACAUAAAUCCAUCCAUCUUGUAUACCGCUUAAUCCUUUUCAGGGUCACGGGGAAACCUGGAGACUAUCCCAGGGAGCAUGGGGAACAAGGCGGGGUACACCCUGGACAGGGUGCCAAUCCCUCGCAGGGCACAAACCCAUACACACUCACACACCCAUUCAUACACUACGGACACUUUAGACACGCCAAUCAGCCUACCGUGCAUGUCUUUGGACUGGGGGAGGAUACCAGAGUACCCAAUAUUUAAAAAAAUAAAAAAUUUGGUGGAAUUUUUUUAUUGAAAAUUUAUGGAAAGAGUCUCAAGGGGUUUAAGUUUUAGCACAUUUGACUCGCACCUCCGGGGUCAGGGCUUCGAUUCCCACAUCUACCCUGUAUGCGUGCGAGUUUGCAUGUUCGCCCCAUGCUUCAGGGGUUUCUCUAAAUUGCCCAUAGUGUGUGACUGCGUGUGUGAUUGUGCCCUGCGAUGGGUUGGCACCCUGUCCAGGGUUUACCCCACCUUGUGCCCCAAGUCCUCUGGGAUAGGCUCCAGGCUCCUCGUGACCUUUGUAGAGUAACACGGAUAGAGAGUAGUCUCUAAUAUCAGUGCUUUGUACCAGUCAACUAUCAAGCAGUAAGUUUUCUGCUACUUUGCAUUUUUUGGUUUCUCAGCUACAACAAGCUACAAGAAUUUUUCUUGUCUUAUUUACUUAUUCACUUCAACAGAAAGUGAUGGAACAACAGCUAUAAUAGAUAUAAUAAUCUUUCUUUCUUUCUUUGGGACACCUAUGGUGCAGUACAUGGCACUGUUUCACAUGCAUCACAAGUCACAAGACCCACCCACAUGAUGGGAGACACUCACUCACACACACACACACACACACACACACACACACACACACACACACACACACACACACAGUAAACGGGGACUACUGCAUGAGCUGCGUUCACAAAGCAGGAACUGUCUCUUUAUACAAAGGCAAGACUACCUCCUCUUUUAGCUGUAAGGAGGAGUGUGUGAUUUCAUUUUGUGCUCUGUCUGUGUUGGUGGCGUGUAUGCGUGCGUGUCCACACGCGGACAAAGCCCCUACUCAUAACUGAAACGGACGGACCGAGGCAGCACACACUGACUCCAGUGUGUCACUGGCGAGAAGUGGACUGAUGAUGCAGCUCAUGUGAAAUGUGCUCCGUUAGCUUUACUGGGUAGGGGAAGGUGGUGGCGGUGGUGGUGGUGGUGGUGGCGGUGGUGGUGGUGGUGGUGGGGGGGGGGGUUGGUGAGGGGUAAGGGGUGGCAGUUGAGAGACGUGUACAGCGUGCGAUAGAGACAUUUUCUCAUGUAGGAACUUUAUCUUAAUGAUAGAUCGGUGGAGAGAAGCUUCUAGAAAGCAGGAACCCGAUGAUGUGGUGUGGUAAUUCAUUAUGACCAGGACAAGAAGAAAAAAAAAAAGAAAGACAAGAAGAUGAUGAAGUAUAGGAGUAAAUAAUAUACGAAUUCUGAACUGCCUGAUGAUGUCAUCUGUCAGGACUUUUGGCAGGGCUGACUGUUGUGUGUGUGUGUGUGUGUGUGUGUGUGUGUGUGUGUGUGUGUGUGUCUCGGAAUGCCUCCCUGACACCAUAAUCUCUCCAAAUUACAGACUCCACGUGCCACCCGCAAAGGAGUCGUUUAACCCUCACACUCUAAUGAACGCUCCCACUUACACACACACAUACACACACACACACACACACACACACACACUCACUCAUCUGCAUUCCAGAGCGAACUCCUCUCUUCGCUGAAGAGACAGAAUGGAUGUUCCUGAAUUCCACAAGCCUGACACGAGAACAUAGACAACAACAUGUUUCGGAUAAACCGGAUAAAGUCAGCUUCGACUUCGGACACUCCGAUAACGUUCUCGCCGUCCUAACCCGGGACUCAUCGUGUCUCGCUUUACAUCGUCUCGCUGUCCCCAAUCACGCCGCUGUCUCAGACUCACGGCUCUCCGUACAUCCUGCACUCAUUGCUAGCUCUACGAUAACCGGGAACGUUUGACCGACAUGUCACAUGAGAACAACUCAACAACCACAAAUAUGAAAAAAGGUCCAAGUUUCCCGAACGUUAUCCUCUUUAUUACGAAGUGAUCUCCAUCUCUGGAGUGCGAGGUAUAUGGAGCGGGGCUCAGAUCUCACACCACACCACAACACACACACAAAUUUCAGCCAGACUGGUGCAGACGGCAGUAGGAACUCAGAGGGUUUAAUCAUUUCCUGAGGGCAGCUCCAGUAUAAACAUCUGGAGUCGGGUCAUCAUAACCGCACAUCCAAGGACACACAACGUGAACGAGCUAACGUGGACCCCAAACAGUUUUCCAGCUGUAAACACUCUGCGACGAACACUGAUUUCGAAUGCUGAAGUUGACAAAUUAUCAAUCAAACCUUCUGCUGCAGAGCUACGAGCAGAGCAUAUGCGCAGUUCCCUGCAUCAACAAACCCCCUCCCACACACACAUACAUACACAGACACACACACACACACACACACAUAUAUAUAUACAUAUACACACACAUAUAUAAAUAUAUAUAUACACACACACAGAGCUUCCCAACACACAACAAGAACAAGUACUUACUCCGCUCCAGUACGGACUCCACUGACUGCUGCAAAGGGAGCAAGUGAACGCUUCACACUCCUCUCUCACACUGCCUCUCUACUGCUCUCUCUCUCUCUCUCUCUCUCUCUCUCUCUCCCUCUCUCUCUGGACUCUACCGUGCUGAGAUAGAGCGUGCGCCAUAAAAGGCAGCCCAGCUAAACAUGUCACAUGUAAUUUAUCCACGGCAGGCGGCAGAGCUUCACCUUUCCGAGUGUGUGUUUGGAGAGAACGGAGUUCCUGCGAAACUUCAGCUCUUGCAACCGGGUAUCUGUAUGUGUAUGUGGGAGUGUGUGUGUGUGUGUGUGUGUGUGCGAGAGUGUGGGUGUGUGUGAGCUAGAGAGAGAGAGAGAGAGAGAGAGAGAGAGAGAGAGAGAGAGAGUUCUUGUAUGUUUGUCUGUUUAUGGAAACUAUUAUAAUCAUUUACUAUAUUGAAAAGAAUCUUUAAGGUAAGACAAUCACUUCGAUGUUUUGUUGCUCCUCUUCCCCGUCUUCCCCGUCUUCUUUCCCUCCCUCUUUUUCUCUCUGGUCCUCUUUGCACAUCUGCACACCACUCGUCUCCCGCCUCAGACCAGACUCCAUCGC
ensembl:lncRNA